rnacentral:lncRNA from 1 species
AUCAGCUCUUAUAAAAAGGUGAGCUUGGCCCAGUAAUCCAGCUGCUGCUUGUCUUUGGGGUGUCAUAGGCUUAGCUAAUCCUGUUGACUCUAAUUCUAACUGGGUGGCUCUUGUUAAAUCUUUGAGCAAAAGAUAGAAUCUUUAGGCCAGUGGCGUGUGAAGAAAGUAUGCCAAACAUUCUUGAUUCUGCCAAGGUCUCAAAGCAAGAACUUCAUUUAUUUAUUUAUUUUUCACAAGGUUUAAGAGCUGCUCGCACUGAUCGCCACUCGAAGGCUGUGGUUGGAACCUAACCAAGAUAGUAGAAACACUGCUUUUAUCAAGCUGGGCAUCACGCUUUAAAGACCUAAUUGCCUGGAGAUCAUUCAGGUGGCAACCCAAUAGAUCUGUCCCAGUGAUUUGUGGGGAGACAUUCUUAAGUGCUGGAGAGGAGUGAGACCUAUAAAGGGGAAGGAUUGUGUUUCGUUGGGUCUCCUUAAAUUCUUCUUAAAGCCCUAGGAUGACUUAUUCGGGUGUAUACAUGACAGAAUCAACGCAAGUUUUUCUGAGACCCUAAGACUUCUGAGACCCUAAGAUCCUAAGUUUUUCUGAGACCCCUAAAUAAGGGGACUUUAAGUAGAUCUAAAAGAAUUUGAGGGAGCAGAAAUGGUAGGGAUUGGAUAAAGAGUACCACAGUGUGAAAGUAAGUUAAAGACUUUCCCUGUUUGAAUAACAUUCAUUGGUUUGAAAUGAUAAUUGUGGGAACUUUGGAGAAAGCUUUAGACUCAAGAGUGAGUUGUCUUUUAAUAUUCAACAUAGCAAGUUAUGUCUGUGAGGGGAUGAGUAAUUUUGGAUGGUUUUUGAGUUUUAGAACACUGUACUUGGGAACCCUACUAUGAACUUUUGAGUGUAGACUGCUCUCCAUAAAAUAGCUUAGGCAGUUUGAAUUUUUUUUGUUAAUGGCUGUAGCCAUUAUGUGCUGUAGCACUUGGAUUUGAUCCCUAAUGCUUUGUAGUCUGACGGCAAUCUCUAGACCCCGGAGCCCUGGGACUGAUUCCAGCCAAACAGUCGGUCAGCUCUGGAAAAGAAAGAAGUUGCUGCCCAGAUUGCCGCAAAUGGAAAUGAGAAGAGAGAAAUGCUUAUCAGGGUCUGCUAAUUGUGGUGCUCGCCAGCACAGAAACACGGGGAGGAGUGAGUGACAUCAUGUGUAGGAAGUGCCACAGAGCCUGGAACAUAGUAAAUGUUCAAUAAAUGCGAUGUGUGA